UCGACCUUACAGAAGAUCACAGAUAAAUAAUAUUGCUUUCAAGCAGUGUUGUGUUCCUGUUGGUGAGUAAGGUGACCAGAGCUCCUGGGAUUGGGGAUUGGGUCGGCAACGCGCUUCCGAUGCUUCUGGUGUUGCAGGCGUCUAUAAGCUACGGUGAUCUCUUACCAUCAGGUGAGCCGUACGCUUGUUUGCCGACCUAGUGACAUAAAAAAAAAAU
rnacentral:misc_RNA from 1 species